AGAAAGCAGUAUCUUUAUUAGCAGCAAAACCUAUAACAGCUGCUAUAACUCCCACUGGGAGGAAUUUCCCCUUGCUAGCCAUUCUCAGGGAACCCGAGUCCUGGGACUUCAAAUCCUUUUGGUAAAAGCCAGAGCCUCCCCCAGUCCUCUGCUCAGAAAUCCUAGGUCUCAGAGCUGUCAAUCACUGUUUCCUUAAUCCUUAUACCCCGGGUGGAAUUAGAAGAAUAAUCCCCCAUCCCUCUUGGGUGCAGGUGAUGGAAGCUGGGGCCUUCCACAUGCUAGGAAAGCUACUGUAAGCUACAGCCUCAGGCCUUGUUUUUUGCUUUUAAAUUACAAAAUGCCUGAAUAUCUCCUGGCACUUGCUAACGUGCCCUUGUCUGGGAUUCCUUUCCCUUGCCGCUCGCCCGCCCUUCCUCAUAGAAAUGGGAGGCUGGCUGGUGACCUGGGCUGCCAGUCUCAGGCAUUGAAUUUUUUGCAUGUUGAGAGCAGUGUUGUAUCAUGGCCCUGGCAGCACAAGGAGUGAUCUCUGGGGAAAUGAGUCACCAGCCGCUCCCCUGCUGAUGACUGUCCUCCCACACCCUGGGGACUGGACUCAGAGUGCAGGAGGGAGCCAUGGCAAGGUGCUAACAAUGCGAGGGCCAGCGCUUCAGAGGCAGACCUCCGUAACUAGGCCAGACAGGCCUGUUGUUUUCACACUUGGGGAGAAGAGAGAAAUGCAAAGCAGCCUCUACCUUCCUGGCUCAUCCAAGGCCUCGCUUUGAGGCUCCUCUGAUUUCACCUCCUUGGACACAGGCUGCCCAGUUAGUUGCCCAUAGUCAAAUCCAAACAAAAACUUCUAUUCAUAGCAUCCAGGAGCAUGCAGCUCCAUUAGGACUGGUGUUCUCUGAGGUGUUCAUGGGAGGGUCGUGAGCCCUCUGGUUGCAGGGAUGGGGUGCAGGUCAACCAUACUCCAAAAUAGUGUUGUGAAGUUGAAUUUGAUGUUGUUUCUCCAGUUUUUAAUGGGGCGUCGGGAGAGAGAGAAUGCAUAGCUGUCUCGGGUUUGAGGGUGUUCCGCUUGCUCCAAUGGUCUCUGCUAAGGCUGCAGAAAUGGCAGAGAAUGUGCUCUGUGACUCCCUCUCACUCUGAACUCCUCAGAGCCCCCCCCACAGGACCACACCUCCCUUCACUGAUAUAAAUACUGCCAAGUGCCAACCUCAUACUCCGUGUUUUAGACCUCCUACUGCCCCUAGAGUCAUGUUUACAGACGAAGGUCUGGCCAAAAGAGGCUUUAAUUUGUCACCUCCACACAAGCCAGAGUCAUCUGGGAAGAGGGAAUCUCAAUUGAGAAAUGCCGCCAUCAGAUUGGUCUAUAGGCAAGCCCGUGGGGUCAUUUUCUUGAUUAGUGAUUGAUGUGGGAGGGCGCAGCCCCACUGAGGAUGUUGUCACCCCUGAGCAAGCGGAGGAAGCCAUGGGGAGGGGGGCAAGGCAAUAGGUAGCAUUAUUCCAUGACUUCUGCUUCAAUUCCUGCCUCCGGGAUCUGCCCUGAUUUCCCUUCAUGACAGACUGUGACAGGGACGUGUAAGCCAAAUAAACACUUUGCUCCACAAGUUGGUUUAGGCCAGUGUUUUAUCAUAGCAACAGAGAACCAAACUAAGCCAAAAGCUAACAGACUGGCUCCAAGUCACAGUUUCCUGCUAACUGUGGUGUCAUUCACCUGGGUGUCCUGGAUAUCUGGAACAUCAAACAUGAUGGUGGUGAAGCAUUGCUGUGAGCAUCAUGGUUCUUCCACAGCUGAGCAAAGUCAGGCCUCCCAAGCAUUUUGCCCCAGUCACCCACUGGAUACCAGAUGAUCUUGCAUUUGGAGAAUUGCUCUUAAUAAAACUAUGAAAUGCUUUUCUCUCCAACUAACGAUUGUCCUAUAUUAUACAAGGGAUUGAGGAGAAGAGUUGUGUGGUAGAAUAUUCAGUCCACGUUUGGGAAUCAACUGUCCGGAGAGUAUUCUUAUUUCCAGCUUGUAUUAUGGUGUUUAUUAUACCCGAACAAUGGCAGAGCCAGUGAUGGAUUGGUUCAUGGGUUCUAGAUUUGCAGAUGGUUAUGAGCCAUGCUAUGUAGAAUUCUGGGAAUCAAACUGGAUCCUCCACAAGCCCAGUACCUGCUCUUAACAGCUGAGCCAUCUCUCCAGCCCCCAGGAUCCAGGAGCUUUUAAAGCCACAAAUUCCUGGAGGAGGAGGGCGGAAGUGAUGGCUGAUCCCGAAGGCUGACUUUUACGUCUGGGACCUACUUUCUGGUAACAGCUCCCCUGAGCAGAUGAAAGACACCUUGACUCCACAGCGCUCCAUGCACCCAGGGACUUCACUACUGUUGAUAGAGUUUUGCAAAACAGAUGGAAAGGACCUUAUAAAAGCCGCUUGCGUUUUUUAUCCUUUGGGCUUCUGCUCUGUGACAACCUUGUUUCAUAGCCCAGGCAGAUCUUGAACUUGAGGUUUUCUUACCUCAGUCCCCCAAGACCUGAGAUUACAGAUAUGUGCCACUC